rnacentral:misc_RNA from 1 species
AAGUCGUAACAAGGUUUCCGUAGGUGAACCUGCGGAAGGAUCAUUCAUAAUAAAGUGUUUUAUGGCACUUUUUAAAAAUCCAUAUCCACCUUGUGUGCAAUGUUAGAUCUCGUCAAUCUUGGCGAGAUUUUUAUACAUCAACUCAUUCUUUAACUAAUUUGUCUGAAAAAUAUUAUGAAUACUUAAUUCAAAAUACAACUUUCAACAACGGAUCUCUUGGCUCUC